AUUUAUGUAGUUUAUAAAAACAUUACAUUUUCAAUGUAAAAAUAAAAGAUACCUUUUCAUAAAUA
rnacentral:tRNA from 1 species